CCAGAAGAAAAGUAUAAACAAACACGACGAUAUAGCCUAAAAACGAAGUUUGUUUCCCGUCUUACUGAAGAAGAUCGACUUACUUCAAGUUACCGACGAAUGAAUAUCAGCUUUCUCGUUGUUUUUGACGACCGAUGCAUAUUUUUACCGACAAACAUCGUUACGAGACAGGGGUUUUGAUGAUUAAUUUAUCACAGAUUACACGGCCGAAGGAAACGCAGUACCGAUCCAUGUGUUACAAUCAGACUGAGUCUUCAUGCAGUACAUCUGGAAUGAGGAACACCGCAUGCAUUGUGGUCCAAAUUGAUGGCAUUGACUUAACACAAAGCAGAAAGGAAUGAAGAGAAAUUAAGAAGUUUAUGUUUCACAUUAAUUAAGAUUAUUUGAGAUAUGUUAUCUGUCGAGGUAUACAACAUUUCCUUUCAUAAUAAAAGUGUAAACAUUAAUAUAUAUACAAAAAAAAAAUCAUGUAUAUAAUCUAAAAAUCCUUGUUAGUUAUUUGUUGUACUAGCAAAAAAUAUAAUAUAGUCGUCUCAAGCUUGGUUGUAUUGAAAUCCCCGGGGACAGUGACAGAGAUAUAUCACUACAGUAUGUGCUACAUAUCAAACAACACACCAUUGUUCAAAUUGUCGAUCAACAUUUCAU